GCGGUUGUAGUAUAACGGUUAUUACACUUGGUUGUGGUCCGAGAAAAGAGGGUUCAAUUCCCUCCUUCCGCC
rnacentral:tRNA from 2 species